rnacentral:rRNA from 1 species
UACGGAGGGUGCAAACGUUGCUCGGAAUCAUUGGGCGUAAAGCGCACGUAGGCGGUCCAGCAAGUCGGGUGUGAAAGCCCUCGGCUUAACCGAGGAAGUGCAUUCGAAACUACUGGACUUGAAUACUGGAGAGGAGUCGCGGAAUUCCCGGUGUAGAGGUGAAAUUCGUAGAUAUCGGGAGGAACACCAGUGGCGAAGGCGGCGAUCUGGACAGAUAUUGACGCUGAGGUGCGAAAGCGUGGGAGCAAACAGG